UUCUGGGCCUGGGUUGUCAGCCUGGCCCAGGGCAGGAAAGUUCAGCGUGGGGCGCCUCCCAGCAAGCCCCCGGGGAGUGCCUGGGGCCGGGAGAAAGCCCGGCUGGCAGGGAUGCCCGCCCCCUUCCCCUGAAGAGGCUCUGGGUUCAUGCCAUGUUGAAGGGGUGGGAGAGAAAGAGGGACCAGGGAGACACCAGCAGAACGGACGGACCAGCAAGAGCAAGAAAAGGAGAUCAUGAGGGAGAGAGAGAGAGAGACUCAGACACAUCCGGGAAGACUGACAGGACUGCCUGCCACACCUUGAGUAGCUUGGGUGAUCUUCCUUCUGCUCACGCAACAGCUCUGUCUUCUACUUUGCCACGGGCACGUGGUGCUUCUCAGGCUGCUAAAAGACUGCACUGACCAGCUAAGGACAGGCAGUGGAUAGCUGUCUCUUGGUAGAGAUUACAGAAAAGUUCAUUAACAGGGGCUGACUCCUGUAGGAGUUAUGUCCUUUUGCCCCUGCCCCUUCCAUGGAUGCAAUGGCUCACACUCCAACAGCCGUCUUGCAGUCAUGAGGUAACACUAAGGAUAUUGGGACAAAAAGCUUCAAGAACCAGUUGACCGCACAGCUACCGUACCAACUCGGGACAGCCUAUCAUCAAACCUCACGUUACAUGAAAGAAAUUAAACCUUUAUCUUGUUUAAGCCACUUUGAUUUGUGGACUAUCAAGUGUGUUUUCCAUCUGUGACAGGAGUUAACAAGCAUUUACCAUGUGGGGUGGUAAAUACUAUUAUCACAACAGGUGGAUCUAGCCCAUUGUGGACUUGGGUCAGGGAAAGCUAUCUGGAAGAGGCAGUGACGGCAUGAAAACCUGAAGGGGGAGUAAGAGUUCACGUGGGAAAAGGAUUAAUAAGGAAAAAAAAUCCCUAGUUUAUGCAAAGAGCAGGAGGUGAAAGAAAGUGGGGCCCAGGAGAACUUGAAGUAGUUCGGAGCAUCUGGAAGAAGAGUGAGAAGGGGAAUGGAGAAGUGAAGAGAUGUGAGUGGUCUGCUUCAGAGCUGUGGCUGCAGGGGUGGACGGUGUUUUGGUUCCACAGGCACCUGACCUUCUGUCUCUCCCCCAGUGGAACUCAGAAGCUUUCAGAAGACAGUGUUCCCAUUAGAAAUCAGCUGGGGGACAUCUGGUUCUGGUCUCAUCUCUCAGGGAACCACAUUCAGUGUAGCCAAGCCACUCACCUCUGUGGGUUUCCAUUUUCAAAUCUGCAAAGCAGGCCUCACCAUACUGCCCCUUCGAUGCCACAUCAAUGCCCCUGUGACCAGAGGCUGUGAUACCCUGCAAACAGGGGACAUAAAGACAUCGCGUUCAACCCUCUCGUUUUGCUGAUAAGAAAGCCGAGGCGCAGAAAGCGGCCCCUGCUAGAUGAAGAGCCAGCGGGGCCAGGCACUUAGCUGUCCACUCUCAGGCGUCAUUCCUUCCCCUCCCACGGCUGAGUGUCGUGCACGCGAGGUGCGUGGUUCAUGUCCAGGCUCCUGCCGAACCGGACACAGCAGAGCGGGAAGACCGAGUUUUUGUUUCGAGAAUCCCAGUACUUGAAGGCGCUUUGAAUAGCACAUAGUUCUGAAACGACCUAAAUAUUUAGAGUGUGCCUUCCCAUCCUUCCUCUCUCCUCCAGAAACAAAAACAAGUCUCUGUAACUUGGUGGUGUAGUGGGUGGAGAAGGGGGGAUUGAGGUAGAUAAAAGGGACACAACCUAACUCAGCAACCGCGGAUGGGAAAGUGCCCCGAAGUAUUUAGUCCAGAUACAAAUCUUGGAGGUAGCUCUUAAGUUUCCACUGAAUCACUGAGAAAACACAGCCAGCCCCCUUCGGCGACUUCGCAGCUGCUAUCUGAAAAGGUCGUUGUAAUCCACACUCUUUAUGCCGUAAACCAGCAACUCUGAAAGCCAUUAUUUGGGGAACGAGGGAGAAAGUUCAUGACCAAAUUAAAUGUUGUAUUAGUGGUGACUGUUA